AUUGCUAAGACAGCUAGGAUGUUGGCUUGGAAGCAGCCAUUCAUUUAAAGAGUGCGUAACAGCUCACUAGUCGAGGAGUUUGGCGUGGAUAAUAAUCGGGCAUAAGUGUUUUACCGAAGCUAUGGGAUCCUAAUGGAUCGGUAGGGGAGCAUUCCACUCGGCGUUGAAGGCGAAGCGUGAGCUUUACUGGAGCGUGUGGAAAAGCAAAUGUAGGUAUAAGUAACGAUAAAGGGGGUGAGAAACCCCCUCGCCGCAAGACUAAG
rnacentral:rRNA from 1 species